AUGCAACCAGAUCAAACCGGAUCAGACCGGCUAAAACCGGUUCAAACCGAAUCAAACCGGAUGGAACCGGAUCAAACCGGAUCAGACCGGAUCAAACCGGUUCGAACCGGAUCAGACUGGCUCAACCGGAUCAAACCGGAUCAGACCGGCUCAAACUGGAUCAGACCGGCUCAAACCGGAUGGAACCGGAUCAAACCGGAUCAGACCGGAUCUAACUGGCUCAAGCUAGUUCAAACCGGAUCAGACUGGUUCAAACCGGAUGGAAACGGAUCAGACCGACUCAAUCCGGAUGGAACCAGAUCAAACCGGAUCAGACCGCAUCAAACCGGAUCAAACCAAAUGGAACUGGAUCAAACCGGCUCAAACCGGUUCGAACCGGAUCAGACUGGUUCAAACCGGAUGGAAACGGAUCAGACCGGCUCUAACCAGAUGGAACCGGAUCAGACCGGAUCAGACCAGCUCAAACCGGGUGGAACCGGAUCAAACCGGAUCAGACCAGCUCAAACCGGUUCAAACCGGAUCAAACCAGAUGGAACCGGAUCAAGCAGGAUCAGACCGGCUCAAACCGGUUCAGGAAAGGGUCCCAGAAUAUCCACGCUAUAGUGAAAACAGUACGGCUACUUGGACCGUGUGCCCUGGCUGACCCUCUGGUUUCAGAAGUAUCAGAUGUGGGAAGAGAUACCAUAUGGAGUUGAAAGCAAGCCCAAGUGGGAAAAGUACAAGGCAAAGUUUUGGGGUUCUGGAGAAAGGCCAUGUGUUGCAGUGGAUAAUUACAUAUCUUUUCAAUAACAACUCCUUUUGAAUUAUAUACUGUUUACAUAUACCUUUUGGGCCCUGGUAGGGAGCACCUAAUCUUGAGACAUUAAGUGACUCUGCAUCCAAAUCUCCCCAUUUCGUAAUAAGUUCUAUCAGAUUUAUCAAGUCAUAAUGUCAAGUGUGGCCAAAGAACCAGUCUCUCAUAUAAUGGAGUUGGAAUACCUAGCAUUGAGCAGCAUGAGCAAGAAAGGAGACCACAAGUGAGUUGUAUGAGAAAUGUGAGGAGCAGGCUCCCAAAGAUGUUCACAGCCUAAUCCCUGGAAUAUGACUAUGUAGGUUAUAUGGGAAAAGGGAAUUAACGUUGCAGAGGGAAUUAAGACUGCUAAUCAUCUAAGUUUAAGAUAGCAAGGUUAUCUUGGAUAUCUGGAUGGCCUGAUGUAACCACAAUGAUUCUUAAAAAUGAGAAAAGGGAGAAUCAGAGAUUCAGAGGGAAAUGUGACCAUGAAAGAGGCAUAGAGAGAUGGAACACUGCUGGCUUUGAAGAUGGAGGAAGGGGCCGUGAACCAAGAAAUGUGAGUGAGCUCUAGGAGAAAGAAGAGGCAAGGAAAUAGAUUCUCUUCUAAAUCCUCCAGAAGAGAACUUCAUUUUAGUCCAGCAAGAUACAUGUCAGAUGUCUGACCUAUACAGGCCUAUACUUGGGCCUGGGAAACAAAGGGUAGAGGCAGGAAGGGCCCUGCUUACCUUUAUCUGUAUUCCUAAUAAUACACUUAGGGAAUUUGUGCUUCCUGUCUCUCUGUCUGCCAUCCAUGGCCCUGCCAGCCCCCAAGUCAGGACUCUGUAGGAUGAAAGGUCCUGAUUCCCUAUGGGGGCACACUUCUGCCAGGGGACAUGGAAAGAGUCCCGCUGAACUCUAAGCCAUAGCUUCUGCCUGUCACUGCAAAGACUUUGUAUCCAGAGACCAUUAUGCAAGAAGAGUCACUGUCUGGGCUCAGGCAAUUAACCCAGUUCUUCAGGAGGAGGAAGUGCUUAUGUGACCCAGUAAGGGCAGGAAGAAAUAUGUUUGCCACUCACAUGAUCCAUUUGGACCCUACUUGACCAAAUUUGAUAGUAAACAGACAAUUGCACCACCCUAGCUUGAAAAUAGCAUGGGAGCCAGGGUCUCAGACCCCUCAGAAAUGAAGAUUUGGGUCACGCCACCAGGUAAGACACCAAUACUAGAAGAAGCAUUAUGGGAGACUGAGGGUAAUUUAGAAUGGACACCAGAAAAGGGAGACAGUAAAAAUCAGUCACAUCCCCUAAAUCAAUUGCUCUGAGAAAAAGGAGAAUUCUCUCUGAAAUUCCAAAUAAAAUAAAUUCUCCCUUUUAUUUAUUAUUUUAUUUGAGAGAAUUCUCUCUCAAAUUCCAGCUGUACAUUGUACCAACUAGAAUUUGAAACCAAAAACAAUACCAUUUGUUUGAGCAAUUCCCCUCCUUCCCAUCCAAACUAACUUGCUGAGAUUUUGAUUGCAGUUGCAAUGAAUCUAUAGAACAAGUUGGGAAGAACUGGAAAUGUGACAAUAUUGAGUCUUUCUAUAAAGGUACAUUGAAUAUCUCUCCAUUUCUUUAGUCAUUCUUUGAUUUCAUUCAUCAGAAUUUUGUAGUUUUCUUCAUAAAGAGCUAGUUUAGCCUUUUUAGAUUUAUGCCCCCAGGUGUCCCUUCCCAGUGGAGUUGUAUAGAUAGUGCUAUUUCUCUCAGCCACAAUGUGUGACAAUACACAUGAAGUAUCGUCAACCAGGGAAGCUCAUCUGAGCUUCAGUGUCAGGGUUUUUACUGGGGGCUAGUGAUGUAGAUAUGGCUGACCUUAGUCUCCAGAUCCUGUAGAACUACAGGUAUGCACUACCGUGCCCAGCCCCCUGAAACCUUUAACAAAUAAAAUACAGCAAUAUUUUAAAAGAAUUAUACACUAUGACUAGGUGGGGUUUAUUCCAGGGAUGUAAAUCUCAUUAAAUAUUUGAAAAUCAAUCAAUGCAAUCCACCAUAUUAGCAGUCUAAAGAAAGAAAAUUAUGAUCAUAUCAAUUGAUACCAAAAAAGCAUUUAAUAAAACUCAAUAUCUAUUCAUGACAAAAAAAACCUCUCAGGAAAGUAAGAAUAGAGGGAAACUUCCUCAACUUGAUGAAGAACAUCUAAAAUAAACACCUACAGUUAAUAUCAUAGUUAAUAGUGAAAAACCAGAUGUUAUCUAAAAUUAGAAACAAGGCAAGAAUGUCUAGUCUCAUGACUGUAUUAAACAUAGUACUGGAAAUUACAGGUAAUACAAUUCUAAGUAAGGCAAGAAAGGAAAUGAAAAGCAUAAAGAUCAGAA
ensembl:lncRNA